GCCACAAAGAAAGCAUUUCCCACAAGAGGAAGGGUUCCUUCCCACCCUCUGCAGUUUCAGCUGAUUAUGCUAAAACAUGAUCCCAUUUCUGCCAGGCUAUUUUUAUCCCAGGGCCCAGCAGCUGAUGAACCGUGCCAGGGUUUAAUUCUUCAGCACUGGACGAUGCAGGAAUCCAGAGGCCUGAAUGCAAGUCUGAUUUGAACAGAAGUACUACAGUGAGAAUGAUAAGAGAAGGCAGAGCAAGAAUUCCUGGCAAAGAGGAUGAGGAUUUAGAGAGAUGACAAGCAGGACCUUAGAGCCUUUCCAAAGGGAUGCCACUUGAACUGUUGGAGACACAUCUACAAGGUUGCAAUGAAUCCAAAAUGAUGAAACUGAGACUUGAAAUCUGAGCAUGUUGAUGGACAAGGGCACAAGUCUAAAAUGACCAGGCAGCCAGUUGUCACAUGCCAUUUCUGAGCCAAAGAUCUAUAUCACAAUCACUUCUCCACUCAUGACCAGAACCUGAGUGCCCUUCCCUCCGCUCUAACAAAGAAUCAGCACCUGUAGAAUCUCUGUGAAACCCGUUAGUGAAUUCAAACAAGUAUCACAACAAGGUCUACACCAACCAUUUCCCUGGAAGCAGGAUGGAUUUAAACAAGGUGCUCCUGUCAUCUGUGCCCACAAAACUCCAACAACAUAUU